rnacentral:rRNA from 1 species
UAAUACGGAGGGUGCAAGCAUUGAUCGGAAUUACUGGGCGUAAAGGGCGCGUAGGCGGUCCGAAAAGUCAGAUGUGAAAUUCCGGGGCUCAACCCCGGAGCUGCAUUUGAAACUUUUAGACUAGAGUAUAGUAAGGGUAAACGGAAUUCCACGUGUAGCGGUGAAAUGCGUAGAUAUGUGGAAGAACACCAGUGGUGAAGACGGUUUACUGUGCUAUAACUGACGCUGAGGCGCGAAAGCUAGGGGAGCAAACAGG